AUAAGUUUCAGCAGCAGAUUCAUUUUCUGCCACCGAAUACAUUAGCAUGGGAUAAUGGAAUAGGACCCUGUCCUCCUAUUUUCAGUUGGUUUUGGCAGCGCGAGGACUAGGGUAAUGAUUAAUAGGGAUAGUUGGGGGCAUUAAUAUUUAAUUGUCAGAGGUGAAAUUCUUGGAUUUAUGAAAGAUUAACUUCUGCGAAAGCAUCUGCCAAGGAUGUUUUCAUUAAUCAAGAACGAAAGUUAGGGGAUCGAAGACGAUCAGAUACCGUCGUAGUCUUAACCAUAAACGAUGCCGACCAGCGAUUAGGAGACGUUGAAUACAAAACACCACCAUCGGCGCGGUCGUCCUUGGCGUUCGUGUUCACGCACGAGCGCGAGGGCGGCUUAGCCCGAUGGCACCGGUGAAUGACUCCCCUAGCGCUUUGUGGAGAAAGAA
rnacentral:rRNA from 1 species